UCUCGAUGAUGAUCCUCAUCAAAUCAGUUCUGCUUAUGAAAGACUCUGAUUAGAACGUUACCAAAACUUGCUGAAAU
rnacentral:snoRNA from 1 species